UAUCGCUACGCGCUGAGGCCCUCCUCCUCCUCCCCCUCUUUUCUCUCUGUUUCUAUCCAUCGUAUAUUUUGGUUUUGUGUGUGCGUGUGUGUGUGUGUGUGUGUGUGUGUGUUCGCAGGUGCGUCAUCCCCUUGUAUCUCCUGUUUCUGCUUCUGGCCUUCCACGAGACGCCUCUCCGUGCGCUGCUGGCCUUCUUCAGUGCCGCACACGUCUACCUCGCAGACGAGACACAGUAACGAUGAUCGGCCCGAACGAAAGCAGCAACGCCGACCGCUUGGAGUACCUGUACCUCAACCUGGUCGGCCAGACGGUGCUGAUUCACACCGUGGACGGGGCUCUGUGCGAGGGCCUGUUUGUUUCUCGCACUGACGCCGAUGUGGCGGCGGACGAAGCAGGUGUCUUCAUCUCUUUCCCACGCAAUCUGCCCUCGAAGGUGCACAGCGCCCUCGACGCGUCGGAGCUUUCAGACGAGACGCGCCUCUUCCGGUACGAGGACAUCAUCAUGAUGGAGGCUAAGAACAUGAAGCUGCGCACCGAGACCCCGGGUGCCGGCCAUGUGCACUCCUACCGCGGCGAGCACGACCUCAAGACGCUGGACUGGGCUGCCGAGGGCGCGGAUGAGCUGCUGGAGGCCGACAGCCACGUCACCGGCCAGUGGGAUCAGUUCAAGGCGAACGAGCGGUUCGGCGUCGCCUCGACUUACCGCGAAGAGUUGUACACAACGAAGCUGGAUGAGUCGAAGCUCAGUAAGGAGCAGAUCGCCUACGCUGAGCGCACCGCAAAGGAAAUCGAGGGCUCUGGCACGCGCAACCUGCAGCACCGCCUCGAGCGCGCAGAUGUGACGACCGAGUACGUGGAUGAGGGCGCCAUGUUCUCCGACGUGGCACGCGACGCUCGCGGAAGCAAACGCAGCGCUCAGGCCACGCGCAAGGAGGCCGCUGCGACCACGUCAGCAGCACCGGCUGCACCAGCUGCGACUCCAGCAGCAAUCACAGCUACGGCAGGCCGCGGUGCAGUUCGUCAAGCGGCGCCGGCGCCGGCGCCGCCGCCACUGCCAGAGGAGCCCGUCACCCUGCCCCCGCCACCGGCGCCCGAAGUCAGCUCGGCGCAGCAGAAGACGGUCUACAGCCCCAACCCGUCGGCCACUCCGUUCGUGCCGCCGUUGAAGAGCUUCCUGGCGAACGUGGCCAGCCUCGUGGCGAACAACGACAACUGCUACGCCUGCCCAACGGACUGGCCCGGCGACAUCGACUUCUAUGACCGUGACGUCUCGCACUAUUCACGCCCGCAGACGCUGGUGCAGCCGAAUAUGCAUCACAAGUACAACCAGCCCGUCAUGAAUCCCAUGCCAGGCCGCGGCGCCCCCAUGAACCACCACCAGCACCACGCUAUGAACCCACAUCCUGCGGUGUACAACGCGGGUGGCCCGAUGGGGGGACACAUGGGCAACCCACACGUGCAGCAGCAGCACCCGCAGUACAUGGAUCCCAGCAACAACAACGGCAUGAUGCCGCCGCAGGGGCCAGGCACUAUACCGGGUCCGUCCCCGGCACGCAUGCAGCAGCAGCAGCGCGCGUCAAAGGCGUCGCAACCUCAGCAACCGGUCCACACGGCCGCCCAGACCAUCCCGCCUCCUCAGCAACAGCAGCCCCAUCAGCAGCAGCAGGUGUCGGCAAUCGACAGCAGUGGCCCUCAGCAGGACCGUGCCGCGCCCGGCACCAAGAAGCUGCGCCGCGGUGGUAUGGCCACUGCGGCCCGUCAGGAUGGUGGAGAGGGCGCGCAGGGCGGAGGCAAGAAGGGUGGGAAGUAACGCCGGCAUGUCGAAGUGCGUAGCAUGUCAGCGAGUGUGUGGUGGUGGGCGUGGGGGAGGGGCGCUGCAGCGUGAAGAGCAACAACAGCGAAGAAGAGAAAGCGAUGCCGCUGUGCGUGGUGCUCGUCGCUGCCUUCCGUCCCGAUCGUCUUCCCUCCCACUCUUUGGCAGCCGAGCAUCGGAGCGCAGAUGUAGUGGAGGUCGACUGUGUAUUGGGAGUGUAUAGGGGGUGGGCGCGCGUGCGUGCGUGCGUGCGUGUGCAGGCGUGUGUCGUCAAGUGUGGAAGCCUACACACGACGGUAUCCAUAGACGUAUUAUAUGUGGCCGCGCCGAGGUAAGAAAAAGGAAAGAGGAAAAUCAAAAGCGGCGGUGCUGCUCGUACGGUGUGUGUGUGUGCACCCGCACGCUUAGGCAAGUGCACGUGCGUGUGCAGGGGGCUUGCAAGUGACCGUGUUGUUGUCUGGAGUGCGUGUCGGCACAUUGAAGAGGUGCCGCUGGAUGAUGACGCGAAGAGAAGAUGCCUGUGCAUGUGUGUGUGUGUGUAUGUAUGUGUGCUUGUGCGAAGGAUGGCGGUUAUCGCCGUGUUUCGGAAGGCUGGCAGGUGCUCCUCCUCCUUAUCCGUCUCUUGUGGUUUCUUUUCGGGUUUUUUGUCUAUUAUCUUUCCGGUAGAGAGAGGGAGAUGAAGGUGGGCCCGCAAUAUUAGGUGCACAGGCGGGUCCAUGGUAACGAAACAAGAGACGAAGGAACACAAGGUGGUGCACGCCGUGUGUUACGGUGUGUGUGUGUGUGUGUGUGUGUGCCGCUGGAUUUGGUAUCUAACAGGUUGCACGCUCGCUGUCACCUAGUCAUAC
rnacentral:misc_RNA from 1 species